UACGUAGGGUGCGAGCGUUGUCCGGAAUUACUGGGCGUAAAGAGCUCGUAGGUGGUUUGUCGCGUUGUUCGUGAAAACUCACAACUCAAUUGUGGGCGUGCGGGCGAUACGGGCAGACUGGAGUACUGCAGGGGAGACUGGAAUUCCUGGUGUAGCGGUGAAAUGCGCAGAUAUCAGGAGGAACACCGAUGGCGAAGGCAGGUCUCUGGGCCGAUACUGACGCUGAGGAGCGAAAGCGUGGGGAGCGAACAGG
rnacentral:rRNA from 1 species